rnacentral:tRNA from 1 species
GCAGGUUUCGUCCAACAGCAAGACGCCGGUGUGCCACACCGGAAAUGGAGGUGCAAGUCCUUCAACCUGCU